rnacentral:rRNA from 1 species
UACGGAGGGGGCUAGCGUUGUUCGGAAUUACUGGGCGUAAAGCGCACGUAGGCGGCUUUGUAAGUUAGAGGUGAAAGCCCGGGGCUCAACUCCGGAAUUGCCUUUAAGACUGCAUCGCUAGAAUUGUGGAGAGGUAAGUGGAAUUCCGAGUGUAGAGGUGAAAUUCGUAGAUAUUCGGAAGAACACCAGUGGCGAAGGCGGACUUACUGGACACAUAUUGACGCUGAGGUGGCGAAAG